rnacentral:rRNA from 1 species
GAUGAACGCUGGCGGCGUGCCUAAUACAUGCAAGUAGAACGCUGAAGGAAGGAGCUUGCUCUUUCCGGAUGAGUUGCGAACGGGUGAGUAACGCGUAGGUAACCUGCCUGGUAGCGGGGGAUAACUAUUGGAAACGAUAGCUAAUACCGCAUAACAGUAGAUGUUGCAUGAUAUCUACUUAAAAGGUGCAAUUGCACCACUACCAGAUGGACCUGCGUUGUAUUAGCUAGUUGGUGAGGUAACGGCUCACCAAGGCGACGAUACAUAGCCGACCUGAGAGGGUGAUCGGCCACACUGGGACUGAGACACGGCCCAGACUCCUACGGGAGGGAGCAGGAGGGAAUCUUCGGCAAUGGACGGAAGUCUGACCGAGCAACGCCGCGGGAGUGAAGAAGGUUUUCGGAUCGUAAAGCUCUGUUGUAAGAGAAGAACGAGUGUGAGAGUGGAAAGUUCACACUGUGACGGUAUCUUACCAGAAAGGGACGGCUAACUACGUG